UCAACAUCGCGCGGGAGCUCGCGCCACAGCGGGCUGAGAGGGCAAAUGGCGUCCACAUGGACCCGGCUUUGCCGACCGCCUGAACCUGACCGGGUAAUGCCGGCGUAGGGAGGCUGUUCAUGACCGCUC
rnacentral:ncRNA from 2 species